UUGUAAAACAUUUCACUUGUUUGCCUUAAAAAAACUCCUGGGUUGCUUUCACAGUAUGUGUUGGGUCAUUGUCCAUCUGUAAAGUGAAGCGCCGUCCAAUCAACUUCGCUGAAUUUGGCUGAAUCUGAGCAGACAAUAUAUCCCUAUACACUUCAGAAUUCAUCCGACUGCUUCUGUCACAUCAUCAAUAAACACUAGUGACCCAGUGUUAUUGGAAGCCAUGUAUGCCCAUGCCAU